AACGAACGCUGGCGGCAUGCCUAACACAUGCAAGUCGAACGAGACCUUCGGGUCUAGUGGCGCACGGGUGCGUAACGCGUGGGAACCUGCCCUUAGGUUCGGAAUAACUCCCCGAAAGGGGUGCUAAUACCGGAUAAUGUCUUCGGACCAAAGAUUUAUCGCCUUUGGAUGGGCCCGCGUUGGAUUAGCUAGUUGGUAGGGUAAAAGCCUACCAAGGCGACGAUCCAUAGCUGGUCUGAGAGGAUGAUCAGCCACACUGGGACUGAGACACGGCCCAGACUCCUACGGGAGGCAGCAGUGGGGAAUAUUGGACAAUGGGCGAAACCCUGAUCCAGCAAUGCCGCGUGAGUGAUGAAGGCCUUAGGGUUGUAAAGCUCUUUUACCCGGGAUGAUAAUGACAGUACCGGGAGAAUAAGCUCCGGCUAACUCCGU
rnacentral:rRNA from 1 species